UACGGAGGGUGCAAGCGUUGUCCGGAAUCACUGGGCGUAAAGGGCGCGUAGGCGGCUCAUGAAGGCUGUGGUGAAAGUCCGGGGCUCAACCUCGGAUCGGCCGUGGCGACUCGUGGGCUGGAGCACUGUAGAGGCGGGUGGAAUUCCGGGUGUAGCGGUGGAAUGCGUAGAGAUCCGGAAGAACACCAACGGCGAAAGCACUCUGCUGGGCCGACACUGACACUGAGAGACGAAAGCUAGGGGAGCGAAUGGG
rnacentral:rRNA from 1 species